rnacentral:misc_RNA from 1 species
UCACCCCUCAAGCCCCGUGCUUGGUGUUGGACGGGUUGGUCGGGGCUUCCCCUCGACCCCUCCUAAAGACAAUGACGGCGGCCUGUGGUUCCCCCGGUACACUGAGCUUCUUAACCGAGCACGUACCGGACGAGGGCGCCCGGGCCACGGUCCCCUCCUUUCACUAGGAAUCUUUUAUCUCAAGG